rnacentral:rRNA from 1 species
GACAAACGCUGGCGGGGUGCAUGAGACAUGCAAGUCGAACGGGGUUGAGCGGGCUUGCUCGAUCAACCUAGUGGCGGACGGCUGAGUAACGCGUAGGUGACCUACCCGGAAGUGGGAUAACUGCCCGAAAGGGUGGCUAAUACCGCAUGUGGUCGGCGAUUCAGUUCGCCGCCUAAAGCCGUAAGGCGCUUCCGGCGGGGCCUGCGUCCGAUUAGCUAGUUGGUGGGGUAAUGGCNCACCAAGGCGACGAUCGGUAGCUGGUCUGAGAGGAUGAUCAGCCAGACUGGGACUGAGAACGGCCCAGACUCCUACGGGAGGCAGCAGUCGGGAAUUUUGCCCAAUGGACGAAAGUCUGAGGCAGC